UCUGACCAUGUUUUCCUUGAUGAACGAACCUCCUAUCAUAGUCCUACUGGUUGUACUAGUAGUAUGCUCCCAUCCAUUAUAUCCUAGUGUGGUUCUUCUCGCACUUCCGUUCUUGUCACAACGAAACCGCCUUGUGGUAAUGGCGAUGUCGCAAGUUCCCCUUGGGCUCUGAGUAUGUGAUGCUUGGUUAGCCUAUGAUCUUCUUACAACCAAAACUAUAACUCUGCACGUAAUCUUGAUUAGCUCAUGAUCCCAGUAAUCUUGCACGUCACAACUAUUCUUCAAAUCGGUUUUCAUUUCCUUCAGGAAGCGGUGAAUCAGUUCUCUCUCCCUUAGAGGGUGCCCGACAAAUCUCCUCGGGGGAUUACAUCCUUAUUGUAUUCUCUUACAUUCAUGUCUCUCUGGUCGUUACUGAUUGUCGAAGACAUCCUUCAAGUAGACAUCCGAUCAGAACCAUACUAGAAGUAUAAAUAUAGUGGGUGGUUUUGAAAUCGUUUUCAGAUCUUUUAGGAGAAUCAAAACUUUCACAAACUCUUUUCUUUUAAUGAAAACAAGUUUUUUUUUUUUUUUUUUUUAACGUCGGAAAUGCUGAUCCCUUAGGACGGAACUAAGGGACCUUAACCCGCUCUGAUACCAAUUGUAACAGCCCGAUCCCCCGGCGUCCGACCGGGGUUAUCGAAGGGGCGUUAUGGACACGUGCCUACUCAUUUAGACAACCCUACGUGUCCCGUUACUGGUCCCGAGAGACGAGCGCAUAACCUUCUUUGAAAUACCGUCACACCCACAUCCAUAUACUUCUACUUACAGUCCUGCGCACAGGGAAAAAUGGAAAUGGAGGGGUGAGCAACAAGUUACUCAGUGAAGUGACUCUAGACCAGCCUGCCCGCACGACACUCUAUACUACUCUAUGCGGGAACUAUGACUGACUAGCCACUACAAUCAGUUAACGCAUUUUAUCAUUUCCUAUCACCAUCUGUAAUUUCUACACACACUUCCAUUCAUUUCUAACAACCUAGUAAUCAAUCAAUACAAUGAUCUCACUCAUUGCCAACACGCCAUCCCUAGACUUAACCGACUCAUCUUACCAGUCCGACUCGAUCCUAUGACUUCCUUAACUUCCUGUACCCGACCAUGAGCUAAAACCCUACAAUGCAUA
rnacentral:lncRNA from 1 species